UACAGGGGGUGCAAACGUUGCUCGGAAUCAUUGGGCGUAAAGCGCACGUAGGCGGUUCGUUAUGUCGGAUGUGAAAGCCCUUGGCUUAACCGAGGAAGUGCAUCCGAAACUGGCGAGCUAGAGUACUAAAGAGGAUCGCGGAAUUCCCGGUGUAGAGGUGAAAUUCGUAGAUAUCGGGAGGAACACCGGUGGCGAAGGCAGAUCUCUGGGCCGUUACUGACGCUGAGGAGCGAAAGCGUGGGGAGCAAACAGG
rnacentral:rRNA from 1 species